AAGCAGGUUUCCACAACUGAUAAAACUCGUGCAACUUGAAACUCCGCCUGGUCUUUCCAGGUCUAGAGGGGUUACACUUUGUACUGUGCUCGACUCCACGCCCGGUCCACUGGCGGGUGUUAGUAGCAGCACUGUUGUUUCGUAGCGGAGCAUGGUGGCCGUGGGAACUCCUCCUUGGUGACAAGGGCCCACGGGGCCGAAAGCCACGUCCAGACGGACCCACCAUGUGUGCAACCCCAGCACGGCAACUUUUACUGCGAACACCACCUUAAGGUGACACUGGUACUGGUACUCGGUCACUGGUGACAGGCUAAGGAUGCCCUUCAGGUACCCCGAGGUAACACGGGACACUCGGGAUCUGAGAAGGGGAUUGGGACUUCUUUAAAAGUGCCCAGUUUAAAAAGCUUCUACGCCUGAAUAGGCGACCGGAGGCCGGCGCCUUUCCAUUACCCACUACUAAAUC
rnacentral:other from 1 species